GUGUGUUAGUGUCUCAGGUCUUUUGCGGGUGAAGCACCUGGGAUCGUUUGCGCGGCCCAAUUUGUACUCGAGCGUUCCUGUCCGUGCGAAUACGCAGUAGCAAUCAGGCGUCGUCUCUGCUGAGGACCGAAAUGACGGAACAGGUGUCCAUGGAAUAACAUGCGAACCAGAAUUUAUCGCAAGUCGGGUAUGUGGAGUGCUCGAACUUACGCAUAAAUUUUCUCAUUAGUCAUGAUCGAUUGCAUUUACUGGGGGUGCGUAACAGGAAAAAGUCGCCGACGAACUGUGGCGCGAGAUAGGUCGUAAUUGGCCACACUUCGCCAGUGUGCUUGAAAGAUGCCAUGCUGUUUUUUUCGGAGGUCGGGCGCUGAACUGCCAUUACCGAUGUGCGUGGUCCAUAAGAAACUACGGAAUAGAAGACAAUGGCACACCAUGUAUC